rnacentral:rRNA from 1 species
ACGUCCCUGCCCUUUGUACACACCGCCCGUCGCUACUACCGAUUGAAUGGCUUAGUGAGGCCUUCGGAUUGAAAUUCGGAGACUGGCAACAGACUCUUGGUUUUGAAAAGUUGGACAAACUUGGUCAUUUAGAGGAAGUAAAAGUCGUAACAAGGUUUCCGUAGGUGAACCUGCGGAAGGAUCAUUACCGAUUUUUAGCGGACCUGAUCUUUGAUCAUGGUCUCGCGAAAACUUGUAUUUAAAACCCCACUCUUAUAAAUUGAAUCAUUUUAUAUUAUGUAUGUAAUAAAUAAAGAUCACUUUCAACAACGGAUCUCUUGGCUCUCGUAUCGAUGAAGAACGUAGCGAAGUGCGAUAAGUAAUGUGAAUUGCAGAAUUCCGUGAAUCAUCGAAUCUUUGAACGCAAAUUGCACUCUCUGGUAACCCGGGGAGUAUGCCUGUUUGAGGGUCAGUGUUAAUAAAAAUCGGUGCGUUGCAAUUUUUGUGAUGUCCCGGAGUUUGAGAUAUCUUCUCUUCUGGGUUUAAGAGGCUUAAAAUUGACCUUCUUUGUGCUUUUUAGACGUACAUAAAUUUUUUUUAUUCGUUUAUCUUAAUGCCAAAAUCUAUUAGAUGCGACCAUAUCGUGUGGUUCCGUGUCUAUAAAUUUUUCAUGAUUUGACCUCAAAUCAAGGUAGGAACACCCCCUGAUCUUAAGCAUAUCAAUAAGCGGAAAAAAAGAAAAUAACAAUGAUUCCCCUAGUAACUGCGAGUGAAGAGGGACAAGCUCAAAUUUUAAAUCUAUCGGGUUUUACCUGAUCGAGUUGUAAUUUGAAGAAGCGUUUUGCGUAUUUGGUCAGCCCAAGUCCUAUUGAAGAGGCAUCAUGGAGGGUGAUAAUCCCGUCCGGUUGAUCAUUGCGUUUUACGAACGCUUUCUAAGAGUCAAGUUGUUUGGGAUUGCAGCUUAAAAUGGGAGGUAAAUUUCUCCUAAGGCUAAAUACGGCGAGAGACCGAUAGCGAACAAGUACCGUGAGGGAAAGAUGAAAAGAACUUUGAAAAGAGAGUUAAACAGUACGUGAAAUUGUUGAAAGGGAAACGAUUGAAGCCAGUCGUACCUUCGGGUAAUCAGCCUUUCGGGUGCGAUUCUGUGGAGUGUGAGGAGCUUAAACACCUUCAUGUUUUGCAUAUUCGUACUCUUGGGUGUACUUGCCCGUGUGGUUGGUUAACAUCAAUUUUGGUGGUCAUAAAAUGACUGGGGGAAUGUAGCUUCGAUCUUGUAUUGAAGUGUUAUAGCCUUCGGUAGAUGUGAUGAUCGAGAUUGAGGAUUGCAACGGAUAC